rnacentral:sRNA from 2 species
AAAGCAUCGGGUUGAGAGCGAUAAUUGAAUUUGGAUUUACAUACAAAAAUCCAGAAACAUAAUUGGCAGUUGGAAGUGAAGCUCCUAUCAUGAACAUACUAGUACUAAUGUUCAUGCUUGCACUCUUGGAAGCUCUCUCAAACAAGACCUCUCUUCGCCCCCCAACAUGUUUGUAGCUCGAAGCCAGGCAUGAGCGGGCAAGACUUUAGCCAUUUAAGUCAUACAAUAUAGAGGUUUGGCAGCUGCUAUAAGAGCCCGUACCGAGAUUCAAGGCCACGGUUGUACCUGUGACAUGAUAGCGGAUGGUCACUGAGCAUUGAUUUCUGAUUGUCAUUGACUCAUUUCUCCAGGUAAAUACCAUGUAAUCAAAAUUCCUAUUUUCAUGUAUUACUCAAUGGGAAUACAAAUACUUACUUACACCAUGCCUUUUCUAAAUCGUACGGUGGGCUCCGGGGGGUUGUAUAUCGUAAAAGAGGGUCGUGCGGGGAUAAACAAAUGACAUAGAGGACCCCUCGCCUCCUUUGAUUAGCUUAAAACUGUAUGACUGGCUUCAUAACUAUCCACUACCUUAAGUAAAUCCAUGAUAGAAAAUACGAUAUUCUCCACGUAGAGAGCAUUUCACCCGUUCAUACAGUGCCUGAACCGGCCAGCAAGCUUCUGUCUCCUGCAGGGGCACCCACCGAAUUUCCUCUCAACUCCUCCACUAUUUUCACUCCAGCGCUGGCCCCGAUCCUCUCCGCCCCCGCCCUGAUCAUAUCCACACAAUCUCCAGAUGUCCUCACUCCACCGCUGGCCUUAACCUUAACCCCUUUCCCAAGAGUUUCACAAACUGCCCUCAUCAGCGCAACAUUCUCCACGCUAGCCCCCGGCCCAUUAAAGCCUGUACUGGUCUUGACGAAGUCCGCCCCAGCUAAACUGGAAAUCACGCAUCCCGCAACAAUCUGCUCGCGGCUCAACUGCGAUGUUUCAAGAAUGACUUUCAAACCAACUCUAUGGUCGCCGAUAUCGUCCGGAUUUGAAGCAACCUUCCGUACCGCAAGGACAUCCUCGUAUACAUCUGUAUAUUUCCCCUCCUUCAACAGCGGGUAAUUGAUAACCAUAUCUAUCUCCGAUGCACCACAGUUGAUUGCACCUUGGGUCUCCGAGGCCUUUUCGGCGGUGCUAUACGUUCCCUCAUGGAAGCCAAUGACACAUGCCACGCCAAUGUCAAUUCCCUUCAACCGCGCAGCGGCGCACGAAACAUAGUUUGCGCGCACGCAGACGGUUGCGAAGUUGUACUUGAUGGCUUCAGUGCACAAGGUGUCGAUUUGAGCUUCUGUUGCAGUAAGGGCUAGUUGAGUGUGGUCUAUUGUCUUUGGGAUCGAGUUCAGGGGGUCUCCAGGGGGUGGGUAGUUUGUUGUGUUUAUUUGAGGGAGGCUAGCAACGGUUUUCGAGAUUAGAGCACUCCAUUCCAAGUUGGUUACAGGUACAGGAGUGGCCAUUUUAUGCUGUGUAUGGGGGGCAAUUGCGCUUGAAUUAUGUUAUUGCUUUUGGACACACACUUUUUAGCAUGUCAGAUCCUGCGCGAUUGAGUAGUUUGUUCCCCAAGACCUGUAGUCUCAUAUUGUUUAGCUUGAAUUUCAUUGAAUGUGAAUUUGGUCGCAGGGUAUUCCAAAGAUAUGGUAGAGAGAUGGAAAUACAACAUAUUAAGAGUUCUUGGGGGAAAUCAUAAUACCAGUUCUCCACGGUUGUAAAUAAAGAGGU